UGCGUACCUUUUGUAUAAUGGGUCAGCGACUUAUAUUCUGUAGCAAGGUUAACCGUAUAGGGGAGCCGGAGGGAAACCGAGUCUUAAUUGGGCGUUAAGUUGCAGGGUAUAGACCCGAAACCCGGUGAUCUAGCCAUGGGCAGGUUGAAGGUUGGGUAACACUAACUGGAGGACCGAACCGACUAAUGUUGAAAAAUUAGCGGAUGACCUGUGGCUGGGGGUGAAAGGCCAAUCAAACCGGGAGAUAGCUGGUUCUCCCCGAAAGCUAUUUAGGUAGCGCCUCGUGAAUUCAUCUCCGGGGGUAGAGCACUGUUUCGGCUAGGGGGCCAUCCCGGCUUACCAACCCGAUGCAAACUGCGAAUACCGGAGAAUGUUAUCACGGGAGACACACGGCGGGUGCUAACGUCCGUCGUGAAGAGGGAAACAACCCAGACCGCCAGCUAAGGUCCCAAAGUCAUGGUUAAGUGGGAAACGAUGUGGGAAGGCCCAGACAGCCAGGAUGUUGGCUUAGAAGCAGCCAUCAUUUAAAGAAAGCGUAAUAGCUCACUGGUCGAGUCGGCCUGCGCGGAAGAUGUAACGGGGCUAAACCAUGCACCGAAGCUGCGGCAGCGAACGUAUCACCCAAGACAACUUUACGGAGUUGACGAUUGACGGAGCGAAGCGACGUCAAAGCGUUCAUUAAAGUCGAGUUGGCUUAGGGAUACGUUCGUUGGGUAGGGGAGCGUUCUGUAAGCCUGUGAAGGUGUGUCGUGAGGCAUGCUGGAGGUAUCAGAAGUGCGAAUGCUGACAUAAGUAACGAUAAAGCGGGUGAAAAGCCCGCUCGCCGGAAGACCAAGGGUUCCUGUCCAACGUUAAUCGGGGCAGGGUGAGUCGACCCCUAAGGCGAGGCCGAAAGGCGUAGUCGAUGGGAAACGGGUUAAUAUUCCCGUACUUGGUGUUACUGCGAAGGGGGGACGGAGAAGGCUAUGUUGGCCGGGCGACGGUUGUCCCGGUUUAAGCGUGUAGGUGUGUGUUCCAGGUAAAUCCGGUU
rnacentral:rRNA from 1 species